rnacentral:rRNA from 1 species
GAUGAACGCUGGCGGCGUGCCUAACACAUGCAAGUCGAACGGACAGACCCUGAGCUUGCUCCUUUCUCGUUAGCGGCAGACGGGUGAGUCACGCGUGUAUCACCUACUUAUAUUUCUGGGAUAAUCACGGAACUCCGGCUCUAAUCCCAUAUAAUCUACUGAUCCGUAUGGUUCAAUGGUGAUUGAGGCUUUUGCUGUUACUCUUAGAUGGAUUCGCGCCGCAUUAGCUGGUUGGUAAGGUCACGGCUUACCAAGGCAACGAUGCGUAGCCGACCUGAGAGGGUGAUCGGCCACACUAGAACUGAGACACGGACCAGACUCCUAAGGGAGGCAGCAGUAGGGAAUCGGCCGCAAUGGGCGAAAGCCUGACGCAGCAACGCCGAGUGAGUGAUGAAGGCCUUCGGAUCGUAAAACUCUGUUAUGAGGGAAGAACAAAUGUGUAAGUAACUAUGGACGUCUUGACGGUACCUAAUCAGAAAGCAACGGCUAACUACGUG